CCACAAUGAUGCUCCAUUCUGUCAUUCUAAUUUCUGCCUUUGCAUAUACAAUGCAUGGAAAUGAAAUCAAACCAACCAAAACACUGGAGUUUGCUGAUGAGGGUUUAAGUGUUAAAUUAUCCUGCAGUUAUUCAUCUGCAUAUCGUCUUCUCUGGUACCGUCAGUAUCCCGGAUCAGCUCCUCAGUUUAUUGUGUUCAUCUCAGAUGGAUCAAAACAAGCUCAGGAGUCUAAUGUAGAUUCCAGAUUCAUUGCCAAAGUCACCAAAGACAAAGAAAGCCAUGUGGAUCUGAAGAUCUCCUCUGCUGCUGUAUCAGACUCUGCUCUGUACUACUGCGCUCUGGAGCCCACAGUGACAGGAAACACAAGAACACUGUACAAAAACCUGAUUCACAGUAUUGCAUCUACAUAUCCAACCUCCAUAUCUAGUAUACUGCAGGUGACACCCCUCUGUUCACUAAAAACAGCAUAA